GGGCCCGCACAAGCGGUGGAGCAUGUGGUUUAAUUCGAUGAUACGCGAGGAACCUUACCAGGGCUUAAAUGGGAAAUGACAGGGGCAGAGACGCCCCCUUCUUCGGACAUUUUUCAAGGUGCUGCAUGGUUGUCGUCAGCUCGUGCCGUGAGGUGUCAGGUUAAGUCCUAUAACGAGCGCAACCCCUACCGUUAGUUGCCAGCGUGUAAUGACGGGGACUCUAACGGAACUGCCGGUGCAAACCGUGAGGAAGGUGGGGACGACGUCAAAUCAUCACGGCCCUUACGUCCUGGCCACACACGUGCUACAAUGGUAGGUACAGAGGGCAGCUACCGGUGGACCGGAUGCGGAA
rnacentral:rRNA from 1 species